UACGUAGGCAGCAAGCGUUGUUCGGAGUUACUGGGCGUAAAGGGUGCGUAGGCGGCUUCUUAAGUCUGGUGUGAAAUCUCCCGGCUCAACUGGGAGGGUGCGCCGGAUACUGAGGGGCUAGAGUGUGGGAGAGGAAAGUGGAAUUCCUGGUGUAGCGGUGAAAUGCGUAGAUAUCAGGAGGAACACCGGUGGUGUAAACGGCUUUCUGGACCAUAACUGACGCUGAGGAGCGAAAGCAUGGGGAGCGAACAGG
rnacentral:rRNA from 1 species